rnacentral:rRNA from 1 species
CAGCCGUAAACAAUGUGCGUUAGGUGUGUUGGUAACCACGCGUUACUGAUGCGCCGAAGAGAAAUCGUGAAACGCACCACCUGGGAAGUACGGUCGCAAGGCUGAAACUUAAAGGAAUUGGCGGGGGAGCACCACAACAGGUGGAGCCUGCGGUUUAAUUGGAUUCAACGCCGGACAUCUCACCGGAUAAGACAGCUGAAUGAUUGUCAAUCUGAAGGUUUUACAUGACUAGCUGAGAGGAGGUGCAUGGCGUCAGUGACU